AUGUGCAUAAUGUGUCAUGACGUUCUAUGGGUUGUAAUUCUACAGGAAGCUUUUAUUCACCAUGUCAGGGAGACACCUCCUCUUGAGUCAUUUGAUACUGGGGAUGGCUUUGACCUGUACAUCGAUGGAGCUCGCUUUCUGCCUGAUGGCAUCACGGUUACCAGAGUGACUGCUUGCAUCUUUACCAGCAAUUACAAACAGGUUGGCCCAGACAUUUACACCGACAUUGACUUGAAUAGCAACAUCUAUGAUCCAGCUUACAAUUACUCCGUUGAAAUCCGGGAACUGGUGUUAACACCAUGUGCAACUCUUCUCUUAAAGGUCUCCUUAAAUGAUGGUGCUCAUCAGCUUCGCAUUUUUCACAACAGUCCCUGCCCAGACCAGCCUUUUUCUACCCUUUCUUUGACCUCAAAAGGACGAUAUGUGCCUUGUGCAACCCUACUGGUGCGGCUUCUCAAGGCUCCUGUAGAUUCCAGUCAUCACACUUUGCAAAGAACCAUGAUUCCUCAAACACAGUGGGUCCAGCUGGGCCUCUUCCAACUCAGGCCUGAUUAUUCUGAUGGCGUUUAUUACUCAGACUCAGCCAGACCUACUCCAGGAGAAAGUUGCCUCUAUGAGGCUAUGAUGAUGAGGUGAGCUGAGUUUAUUCUGACUCACAAUUUAUUGGAUUACAGUAGAGUCUCACUUAUCCAAUACUCACUUAUCCAACGUUCUGGAUUAUCCAACACAUUUUUGUAGUCAAUGUUUUCAAUAUAUUGUGAUAUUUUGGUGUUAAUUUCGUAAAUACAGUAAUUACUAGAUAGCAUUACUGUGUAUUGAACUACUUUUUCUGUCAAAUUUGUUGUAUAACAUGAUGUUUUGGUGCUUAAUUUGUAAAAUCAUAAUGUAAUUUGAUGUUUAAUAGGCUUUUCUUUAAUCCCUCCUUAUUAUCCAACAUAUUCGUUUAUCCAACAUUCUGCCAGCCCGUUUAUGUUGGAUAAGUGAGACUCUACUGUAAUUAAAUCGAAAGACUAUCUUAUAGCCAUAAAUACGUCAAUCAAUAUGCCUAAUCUGUGCCAUAUUGAGAACUAGUUUUCAUUCCCCAUAGGUCAGUUGUUUCAGUUCGAGAGAUUAUUCAACAGCUUGUUGGACAUAAGAAGAGCUUGAACACAGAUGAGGAAAUCUUGACCUGGAUCCACAAGAAACUAAAACGGGAACCAGACAGUAGGCCACAGUCCUUCAACCUCACCUACAUCUCCAGAUACAUCCCAACAUAUGGCAUCAAGGUGAAUGGCAAUGCCCCGGCUAGCAAGAGCAAUUUUGUAGGAGACUAAAAUUAUGCAAACAUGGGUUUGGGUAUAAGACAAAUUAAGAUCUUCUGAUAUAUUUAUGCAUAAAUAUGCAUAAAGUCAAUGUGUUACUAUACAACAUUUCAAGCAAGUCUCUAAAUCAGUAUUUGGUGCUUCCAUUAUAUUAUUUAACUGCAAAUCUCAUCUUGUGUCUCUACUGACUAAACUGGCCACAGAUAGUGGGAGUGAUAACUCCAAAAACAUUUGGACACCAUAUUUUCGACCCAAACCCUAAAUAUUCAUUUCAACAGGGCUGAUACCUUAUGGCGAAUCUGAGGUAAGGCCUGAACUUGAAAACAGCAUCCAGCUUUUAAAAAAAAUAUUUUUAAAAAACAAUUAACACAAAAAAACACACAAAAAACAACAACAUAAAACAUAAACCCAUCUCCGAGAUUACACAGAAAGAAAGUAGGUAAGGACAGGGAAAAGGAUGGGACAAACACUGUUUGGGAUGGGAUUGUGGUGGGGAAAGAAACAUUGACUCCAGUCAAAUAGGGAAAUUUGCCUAGAGUGAGAGGACGAUAUAACCUAAGGUAUAUUUACCUUACACCCGACAGAAAAUGUGUAAGCUGCUCCUGGAAAAAGAGAGAAAAAGAAGAAAAAAGGAAAAAAAUUAAAAAAGAAGGAAGAAAAUAAUGAUAAUAAUGAUAAAAAUGACUUCCAUCUAUUGUAUAGCAUCCAGUUUUUAUAUUUGGCUAUGUACCUUUGUCCUCGACUGCAGCUUUAUCUGCAAUACAGUAGAGUCUCGCUUAUCAAACCUUCGCUCACCCGACUUUCUGUAUUAUCCAACGCAACCAGCAGGCCUCUCUGUGCACUGGGCGCCUGCUGGGAGAGGUGAGAAGCUGCUGGCGCAGACUUUUCCCAUUGGGCACAGAGUCCGGCCUAUUACCCAUUACCAGAAUAUUUAUAUCCUAAGCACUCAAAAUCGGCAGUGGGAAAGUAGAUGAGAUUAAAACUAUGCUCACAAAGUGGGACUGAACCUCAAGAAAAACUGCAAGUUAAUACUGCUUUAAUAUACCACAUCUCUCCAUAUCUGACUAUUUAUAGUUCCAGAGGCUCCAAAGGGGAAUAGGAAAUACCACUCUACAGGAGAGUAAUGUGAACAUGACCAAAUCACUUUUAUUUACAUUAUUACAGCACAUUCUGUUAUUUUCAUAUUAAUUUCAUAUAAUGAAACCAAAGAACUACACAAAUUACAAACUAAAGACAAAACAUAUCACAAGGAAUUCAACCAGUUCUUCUCACAAGCAGGAUGAGCAACAUCCAAUUUACAAAAUUCACAUAUGUAAUUUGACGUUUAAUCCCUUAUCCAACAUUUUCGCUUAUUCAACGUUCUGCCAGCCUGUUUAUGUUGGAUAAAGAAGACUAUUGUACUUAGGUGUCAUUUUUAAUUAUAUUGAGUCAAAUACGAAAAUCUACUGAUUAGUUGGGAUAGAUGCAGCUACAGCUCUCAACCAGCCAGUUGCAUCAGUAUCACUCAGAUCUUUAUGCCUGUUUUUAUUCUCAGUAUCAUUCAGAUCUUUAUGCCUGUUUUUAUUCUAUCAGUUCCAAUAAUCUAUAUAUAUAAAAGAGUGAUGGAAUCAGGGCACCAGACAAAACAGCAAAACUACAGGCCCCCCAACUUCGAAAUUUGACAACACAACCCAUCAUCCACGGCUCUAGGUUGAUACAACAAAAAGAAAAGAAAAAUGAAGUCCUAAUUAGAGGGAAAGGAAUAAUUGUUUUUAUCCAAGAGCUGCCAGUUAGAGGGCUAAGCUCCGCCCACUUGGUCUCCUAGCAACCCACUCAGCCCAGGGCCUCAGUUUCGCUGUUGAGUUUAAAUUAGAAAUGGUCAGAACAUUAGAGACUCAUCUCUGGUUACUUGAGUGUUUGUAUUAAUGCUAUGACAGUCGACUCUCAUUUAACCGGCACCUGAGGGGAGUGGUUGAUGCCGGAUAACUGAGAGUCGUCUCUGGUUGCUUCAUAGUUUGUAUUAAUGCUAUGUCAAUCGACUCAUUUAACUGGCACCUUUGGGGAGUGGUCAAUGCUGGAUAACGCAGAGUCAUCUCUGGUUGCUUGAGAGUAUGUAUUAAUACUAUGACAGUCGACUCUCAUUUAACCGGCACCUGUGGGGAGCGGUCGAUGUCGGAUGACUGACAGUCGUCUCUGGUUGCUUGAGAGUUUGUAUUAAUGCUAUGCCCCAUAGUAUGCCAUCACAUAACCCUGUAUGGACUAGACAUUAAUACUGAAAUGCAGCCAUUGAAAGCAAAUAUAAGACCAAUGCAGUUCAAACUGAAUUAUAUGGUCAGCAUAGACCCAUGUAAACCAGUCCAAGGCCAUUCAAACCGCAUUAUAUAAUAAUAAUAAUAAUAAUAAUAAUAAUAAUAAUAAUAAUAAUAAUAAUAAUAAGGCAGUGUAGACCCAUAUAACACAACCCAAUGAAAUGCAGUGCAAGAGCCAACACGGCCAACUUGGUAUAGUAGCGGUGUUUGGAGGUGGUUGAAUUUGCUAUCCAGGAGUUGUACUUCACCCGUAUCUAGAGAGCACUGAAGAUAACCAACGUUACAUCUGGACCAAACUUGGCACGCAGACUCAACAUGCCCAACUGUGAAGACUGGCACGAUUUUGGGGUCUGGGAAUUGUAGUUCACCUGUAUUCAGAGAACACUGAACUCAGCAAGUGAUGGAUCUCGACCAAACUUGGCACACAGAUCCAACACGGCCAACUGUGAAUAAUUGGGGAAGUUUUGGGGGAAUUAACCCAAAAUUUUUGGGAAAUUGUAGUCCACCCACAUCCUUCAUAUUAUUACUAAAUAUCAUUGCUAUUGAUUACAGCAGCCUGGGGGAGGCGCCUUCCACUGAGCCCUGUCUUCUGCUGGUCCUUCUUCAACUCCCUGGACAGGAAGGGAGGGGUUCAAUCAGGGCCAGCUAGCAAACUGGGCCUCCAAACAAAGGAUUCCCCCAGGGAGGAGGCAGCCAGGCUUUGAAGCUGCAAAGCCAUUACAUGCUAAUCAAGGUGACUAAUAACAGCAUGUAUACCUGCCGCACCGAGACUAUUCCAGCUCACCAAACUAGGAUUACAAUAGGAAGAAAACGGCCAUACUUUGCGGCUGCAAGGAUAUUCACUGCUAAUCCACCUGGCCAACAAACAAAUCCAAAAAGCCACAGCAAUACAUGGCCGGGCACAGCUAGUGUUCUAUACAACCUGAAAUUUAUCUGCUCAGUGUUAAAAGCCACUAAGUUUCAAGAUACUUUGCUGUACAUAACUGCAGAGUAUCAUGAGAAGUGUGUAGCACUCCAGAUGUUGUUGAACAUUUCACCUCAACUUUCACCUCUGCCUGUGUUGAAUAAUAGCUAACUCCUAUUACCAUA
rnacentral:lncRNA from 1 species